GAUGAACGCUAGCGGCAGGCUUAAUACAUGCAAGUCGAGCGGUAACAGGUGUAGCAAUACAUGCUGACGAGCGGCAGACGGGUGAGGAACACGUACGCAACUUUCCUCAAACCGGGGCACAACCUUGAGAAAUCAGGGCUAAUUCCCCAUAACAUUGCGAGAGGGCAUCUGAUUGCAAUUAAAGAUUCGUCGGUUUGAGAUGGGCGUGCGUUCGANAGUCUAGUUGGUAGGUAACGGCUUACCAAGGCAACGAUCGAUAGCUGGUGUGAGAGCACGACCAGCCACACGGGCACUGA
rnacentral:rRNA from 1 species